AUCUCAUUUAAAAGUAUUUCUUGAGCUGCAGGUGCAAACACACUCUAGCAAAUACUUUCACAUUUUGUUUCACCACAAGAAAUCUUUUUUGCCAAAGAAGGAUCUGGAAAUAGAGUGCUAUGCAAUUUGUUUGUGCAGUCUUGGACCUCGUGUCCGUAUUAUGUGGUGACUCUGUGUAACUUUGGGCUGAUUGCACGGGCUCGUCCCGGCGACAUAUCUUUCAAGUGUCUGUCUUAUCAACUGCCGAUGGCAGGUUACGCGCCUACCAUGGUCGUAACGGGUGACGGGGAAUCAGGGUUCGAUUCCGGAGAGGGAGGCUGAGAAACGGCUACCACAUCCAAGGAAGGCA
rnacentral:ncRNA from 1 species